rnacentral:rRNA from 1 species
UGCUUCUUGUCACACCAUAAGAAGUAAUUCCUGCCCAGUGACUAAUAUUCAACGGCCGCGGUAUCCUAACCGUGCAAAGGUAGCAUAAUCACUUGCCCGUUAAUUGCGGGCUAGAAUGAAAGGAUCUACGAAAUAAAAACUGUCUCUAUAAGCCUGAUAAAAAUUAACCUCUAACUGAAGACUGUUAGAUACCGUCGAAGGACAAGAAGACCCUAUAGAGCUUCAUUUUAAUAGAAAAAUAAUAUCCUAAUAAAAUUCGGUUGGGGCGACCCGGGAUCAAAUAAUCAUCCCGCAAAACCAGAUAAAUAAAUCUCCAUAAUGACCCUUAAUUAAGAUCAAGAGAACAAGCUACCUUAGGGAUAACAGGCUAAUCCCACUAAAGAGUCCUUAUCAAUAGUGGGGUUUGGCACCUCGAUGUUGGCUUAGGGAAUCUAUGCGGCGCAAAAGUCACAUAAAGAUGGUUUGUUCAACCAAAAAUACCCU